UUCAGUACUUGGUCAGUUCUGUAGAAGUGAUAAGUGAGAUUGUAUAUUUAAACACCCUUUAAAUUUGUGUCAUCUUUGUUCAGCUGUCCCUUAUGAACAUAAAAUGUUUAUUUAAAUGUAAAUUAAGCCCAGUAAGAACUGAUGUCAGUUAUAAAAAGCAAAGACUGACAAAAACAAGGUGAUAUGCAAUGGUAAAAAUUAUUCUUUAUCCUGCUUUCUUUUUUCAGAAUACUGUUAUUUUCAGGGCAAUCAAAAGAAUUAUUUUAAAAGCACAGGAAUCAAAACACCAAUUUUUCUUUUUGUAGGCAUCUCAUCAUUUAAUUUUUUUUUUUCUAGUGUCGUUGGCUUACUGUACAGUGGUCAUUAAAAUAUUUUAAAUGGUUUUCUCUUUGGCCUUUCAGGAACUGCACUCACAGGUUUAACUGUUACUUGAUACUUGUAGGUAAAGACAGAUUUCUCCUCCUCCUGCCCAUUCAGACUUCUAGCUGAGAAUCAUUUGUUUGUGUGCCUUCAGUUUUUCCCACAGUUAGCUGCUCUGAUCUGUCAGCAGGAGCUGAGUUAGGAGUCUGUGGCUAUUCUCUUGAGAAGAGUUUCAACUGAACUUUAAUAGGACUUACUUUCUUGUUGUGGAGUGUUUUGAUUUUUCAAGCUGUUUAAAACAACCAUGUGCACAAAUGCAGGUAAAGAUCUUAAAACUAAGGUAAUAUUUCUAUAAACAAAGCAACUCUUUGCAAAGAAGUGUUUAAACAUAGUUGCUGAACUGAUUUUGCUUACCUGUAGUUGGAUUUCAUUAGCCACAUAAUAUAACAAUAGAAAGGAGGUGGUGAAUAAUAAUAAGUAAAACAACGUUGUAAGGAAGGAACUGAUCUACUACUGGAGAUGUUUAUUUAAAUUUUUUAAACGGCUUCUGUUGUUAAACUUUUAAUACAAAGUCUCAAGUUUAUGGUAAGAAAAACACCUUCAAAAAGCUGUGAUCAUGUUGGAAAACGUAGAAUAGGAAAGACAGUAACAUACAGUCACAGAAUAGUUUGUAUUGGAAGGGGCCUCUGGAGAUCUAGUCCCAACCCCUACUACAGCAGGGUGCACGGGAUCACGUCUAGGUGGGUUUGGAAUAACUUCAGAGGAGAACAUUCAUUCUCAUUGGGCAGCCUGCUCCAGUGCUCUGUCACCCUCAAAGUAAAGAUUUUUUUUUUUAUUUCCUAUUCAGAUGUAACUUUCUGAAUUUACAGUUUGUGCCUGUUGUCCCUUGUGGACCAGUCACCCAUAGUCAGCACAGGUGUUCAGGUAAUGCCUCAAAAAUCUAACAGGAUUCUUUUGCAUCUCUGAGAGGAUAAACUCAAUGGUGGAAUCCACUGCCAUAGUAACCUAGGGUGCUGAAAAUGGAUCCAGGGAUCAUUUAGACACAUUCAUGUUGGACUGUGCAUAAGCAAUCUCUAGCUUCUAAGUCUCAAAGAUUGGACUGCUGGGAACUGAGGCAGUACAGUACAUAUCCCUGAAAGUAUCAUUCUCUGUUUGGUCUUGUUGUGGAAGGAAUUUAAGAACGCUUCAUGGGCUGCUGUUGGAAAGGAACUACUGAGUUGAGGCAAACCUUUAGUAUGAACCUGCUGUAUGGAUGCUUUUGUGGUAGUGGUGGUGAUGUGAAUAGUAAUAGUGCUUGAAGGACUGACAGAUAUAGAGAGUUGCUUUUGUCGUAAAUCAAAAUUUCUGAGUUGUUCUGUUCUUGUAUAAUUUUAUUGCAUCUCAGCCAAAUACACAUUUAAACAGUAACAACUUUGGUGGCCAUAUUUCCAUUCCAGAAGCCUGAACAAUAGCAGCUGUCAAAGGUGUAUAGUUUCAGCUGUGUGACUUCAGGGUGCACAGUGCCUUUGAUGGGAGGAGAAUCACUGCAUAGUGCUGUGUUGGGAUGGAUGAGACAUGGGUGAGGAGUCAUGUUAUGGGAGAAAGACUCUGAUACAGAGCAUGACAGUAAAGAUGUGGCUGUGUAGAAGGAAAUGUGGUAAAGAUAUCUACUUGCUGAAUGCUGUGUGGGGCUAACCGACUUCUGCCAUGUGGGUCCAAGAGUAGGAAACACUUUUAACACAGCCAGAAAUCUGAGGUAAGGCUCUGCCAGCCCAGAAAUCUGGGUGCAGGCUCAAGACUCUACAUGGUGCUUAAGUUGCAUGUGACAUGGAUGCCAGAGCAUAAUUCAGGGCAAAGAGAUUAAAGUAGCAAUGAGAAACCUGAAUAUUGGGGUACAGUUUGUCUUUGCUGAAGGUGCUAGGGUUCCCAGCUGCACAAACAGGGAGGCUGGCAUUUUACAGCUGGGCACAAAAUGAGUGCUUUGAAUGCAGGACUGGUCUGAAUGUGGGAGUGGAAAGUGUGGUGGUAAAGUGGUAAAAAAUUAAUAGGCUUGAGAGCUGAGAUCCAAUUUGUUGGAAGGUAGGAGAAGGAAAACUCAUUUGGAGAUGUACUGUUGAAUGCUGAGAACUUUGUUUAUGUGGAUAAUUAGGAAUGUAGAUUACAGAAUGCAGAAGUUUGACUUUACAAGAACUUAGAAGCAAAGACCAUGGAUUCUUUAUGGGUCUAAAAGAUGUAAUUCAAGAAAGUGUUUCUCUUUGAAGUAAGAGUGCUACAAAAAGAUAUUUCAUUUUGGGUCUGAGUUAGUCUUUUAGUGACAAGAUGUCUUUUCAAGGAUUGAUUUGACUUCCAAGUCACAAGCAUUUGGGCAGUGCAGGUGUUUGUGGCAGGAAAUUUUUGUAUCAGUUAUCUCUGUCUCCUCAUGCUCCACAUUCAUUCCAUGAUAAAGCACAUAGUGAGAGCACUCCCUUCCAUCUCUUUAAGGUCAUGUGUCUGAGAACUUUUUGUAAGACCUCAUAGCCUAUCUGAGACUGGCAUUCAUGUACGUUCUUAUUUAUGUAUUCAGUUGUUAGGGCUCUGGUAGAAAUGUUGCAAAGCUGAGAAAAAUGAGAGUAGAAGAAGUUCUGUGAGAUGUUGAGGUUGAAGAUCCUUAGUCCUCUCUUAUCAACCCAAAAUUUUUAUAUUACCAGUUUGGAACCAUUAGAAUAACCUUUAGCCAGUAACAGGAAAAAUACCUCAAACUGCUUUCUCUGUUAUUCUCUGUUACCAUUUAUUUGCUUUCUCACAUCUCCAUUGACAGUGGUUACUGGUAUGUCUGAUUUUGUUCAUAACUCUUGGAGAAGAAGCUUACUGCCUCUAUUUGCCUGGGAAGCACACUGUGCACUGUAGACAUCAUUACUUUUGCACUUUUACCAGUACAUUUUAGAGUAGUUUAGGAUUAUGUUGCAAGGGCUGUUAAUUAAAUAACUUGACUUUAUUUUAUUCUGAAAGUAAAAUUUUGGUUAACGUAAUCCCGAAAAUAACAAUCAGUUUCACCAACAAUUCAGUUCAGGAGUCUCAAGCCUUAAUGUGAGUAGCUAUGAUUGUCGUUUAACUAUGGAUCACUGAGUUAAAUCUUACCUUUUUGAAAUAUUUUCCUGAGUAUCACCUGCAGUUUGCAAGGAGGUCAUAAAAUACAGCAGUAGAGAUAGCAGCUGGAGCAUGACAGUUUUUUAACCUUGAUACGAUUUAGAAGUUUCAGCUGCUUUUAGGAACAUGUUAAAACUGUUACAGGAUGGAUUGUAUAAGUACUCUACUUAUCUCUGCAUAAGAUUUUAAUACUGUCUUAAUGUGCUUUUUUUUUUAAGUGAAUUUUCUGUUAUGUUAUAGUCAUUGUAAAAUAUGAGAAGAACAGGCAGCUCUUCAAUUUUUGUUAAUCUUUUGGAAAAUAAAGUCAUGGUUUGGCUAUGUGUCCAUUUUAGUUUGUUUUUGUGGCAAUCAGGUGCAAUGGCUUCAAUCAUUAAUUUAUGUACCUCUCUUUUCUCAAGUGACUAGCUCACCAGACUUUAAAUGUUGGCAAGAGUUUUAAAGUCCAAAUUCCUUACUAUUAAUUAUAGUACAGUGUUAUUCAGACACAUUUUCCAAAAGAUUGAAUAUAAGGUAUAGGAUUAAAUAUUUAGUUACAG